GAUGGAUCACCUCCUUU
rnacentral:rRNA from 1 species